rnacentral:rRNA from 1 species
CCCUUAGAUGUUCUGGGCUGCACGCGCGCUACACUGAAGCUAUCAACACGUUUUCCCUCCCUGAGAAGGGCGGGUAACCUUUUGGAUCAGCUUCGUGGUAGGGAUCGGGGCUUGCAAUUGUUCCCCGUGAACCAGGAAUUCCUAGUAGACGCGAGUCAUAAGCUCGCAUCGAUUAAGUCCCUGCCCUUUGUACACACCGCCCGUCGCUACUACCGAUUGAACGUUUUAGUGAGGCAUUUGGACCGACGCAUCUCAGUUUAACCGCUGGUUUGUGUUGGAAAGACUUCCAAACUUGAGCGUUUAGAGGAAGUAAAAGUCGUAACA